GAAUCUCUUGCCAUUGGUCGAUUUUCUCAGUAUAAAAGAGGUCUAGGUUUUAUUUUUCAGUCAGAGAAACACAAAGUUUCGGACGACGGUAUCACCUGUACCAGUCCUUUGUGAACAGUGCGUAGGAGAAAGUCAGUUGCCGUCUAAGAGACAAAAGUACUGACCCGCACCCUGUGCUUGACCAUUGGGAGAAAGGCACGGCUGCGCAGACGACGAAAGCGAUCACAGCACUCCGGUCGUGUCCUCUUCAAGCUGCGUUAUCAACUUAGUCCUCGGAUCCAGAAAAUUAGCUUUGAGGAGGCUUAGCAGAGCAGGGAAGCGAUCACGAGUGGAAGAGUAUCUAUCACGGUGCUCAAGGUAGACGUGGCCGCAACUGGU